CGGUAAUUCCAGCUCCAAUAGUGCACAUUAAAGUUGCUGCGAUUAAAAAGCACGUAGCCGGAUUUUGGGGUGCCUGUAUCGACCCCACCCAGUAGAGUGGUGUGUUGAACACGGGUGUCCUUUCGCUUGGGUGUGACCUUCGGGUUUCGCUCGGGCAUAUUACCAUGAGGAAAUUGGAGUGCUCAAGGCAUGCGUCUUGCAGUUGAACAGUACAGCAUGGGAUAAUUUUACAUGACGAGUUUCCAUUCUAUUGGUUUCUGGGAACUCGUAAUGAUUAAUGGGGGCGGUUGAGGUCCUUCGUACUCAAGUGUUAGCAGUGGAAUGCUCAGACCACUUGAAGACGAACAAAGGCGAAAGCAAUGAACUUACACGUUCUCGUCGGUCAAGUACGAUAGCAUGAGGAGAGAAGGCGAUUAGUUACCSCCGUAUUUCAUGCCGUAAACGAUGCCACCUGGGGAUUGGGAAUCCAAGAAGCUUCUCAGGGCCCUCCGAGAAAUCAAAGUCAUCAGGCUUCGGGGGAAUUACGCUCGCAAGAGUGAAACUUAAAGGAAUUGACGGAAGGCUGCCUCAASCUGUGGAGCUCUGCGGCUUAAUUUSACUCAACGCGGGGCACCUCACCAGGGGCAGACACAGCAAGGAUUGACAGGYUAAGUGGGGCUUUCAUGAYUCUGUGGAUGGUGGUGCAUGGCNCUAAAAGUGAGUGAUGUGAGUUGUCUGCUUUAUUGCGAUAACUAACGAGACCUCCGCUGKUAAAUAGUCAGCUUUAGAUUUUUUCAAGAGUAUGGCUUCUUAACGGGRCUACUGUAGUGGKACAGGGGAAGCGGGAGGCUAUAGSAGGGCAGUGAUGCCCUUUUAUGKCUUUGGGCCGCACGCGGRCUACACUGGGAACUUCAACGAGGCAACCUGUGSCGAGAGGKAUGGGKAACCUUGUGAAAAGGUGGCGUGRCUGGGAUUGGCGAUUGGSAAUCGGUCGCCAUGAACGAGGAAUAGGUAGKAAUCGUGUGCAUAAACGCACGAUGACUAAGACCCCAGCCUUUGUACACACCGCCCGUCGCUCCUACCGAUUGGAUGAUCCGCCGAGUUUUUCGGGAUUGUGGCUAUGGUUCCCUUGUGGAGUUCAGCGCUGCGAGAAGUUAUGCAAGGCUACAUUAUCUAGAGGAAGGAGAAGUCGUAGCAAGG
rnacentral:rRNA from 1 species